rnacentral:rRNA from 1 species
GCCUACGGGAGGCAGCAGUGGGGAAUAUUGCGCAAUGGGCGAAAGCCUGACGCAGCGACGCCGCGUGAGGGAUGAAGGCCUUCGGGUCGUAAACCUCUGUCAGGAGGGAAGAACCGCCAUGGUGCUAAUCAGCCGUGGUCUGACGGUACCCCAAAGGAAGCACCGGCUAACUCCGUGCCAGCAGCCGCGGUC